ACACAGCACUAGUUGAAUGACCUUAGAGUUUGGAUUAUUAAAGCCUCUGGUUUGAUGAGACAGGUGAGGGUUGGUGUACCAAAGCUCACAGUUGCUGUGACAAACCUCUGAGAGAAAGAUGAAGAGUUUUCUGAGUGUUCUACUGCUGUCUGCAGUCUCCAUGCUCCCCUACACGAAGGGUCAACACGAAUACAACUCACUGACCAGCACACAGAAGACCAUUGUUGACAGGGCAAUCGACCAUAUCAACAAAAAGGAAAAUACUAGACACAUAAAUUUCGAAAAAACACUUUUUCCAAGAGAUAUAAGUGAAGUGUACACCAACUUUAAAAUGUAUUUGAAGGAAACAAGCUGUUCUAAGAUCACACAAACGUUAAAAUAUGAACACCGUCCAGAUUGCCUGUUCCGAGGGAAACGUUUCAACUGUGUUGUUUGCAAGAACGCAGAGGACAGCGAUUUCUACAUUAACUGUCUGCGCGUAAAAUUGGCACACAAGAAUGAAGAGGAACGGAAUCGUCACUGCAACAUGUACCAUCACGGCAUACCUUUGCUUGGAAUGGUACCUGCACCUGAAAUGUGAUACAAUUGACCUCAGAGAUCAGCAUUGUCUUUCAAAAAACAGUUUUUUGGGUUAUUUGCAUAUCACGGAACAACUGACAUGGAACAACAUAUAUCUGACAAAAAACACACUGUCUUUAGAAAACGAUAUGGGUCUCUCAGUUGUGUGACACAUCUGAAUCUGAACAAAGAUGACAGGCUAUCGUUGUAAUAAAAUCAAGAUUAAAUUCA